rnacentral:rRNA from 1 species
CUAGCGACUUCAGAGUUUGAUCCUGGCUCAGGACGACGCUGGCGGCGUGCCUAACACAUGCAAGUCGAACGGAGUUAUUGAGAAGCUUGCUUCGAUUUAACUUAGUGGCGGACGGGUGAGUAACGCGUGAGCAAUCUGGUUCAAAGAGGGGAAUAACGCAGGGAAACUUGUGCUAAUACCGCAUAAUGUACAGAGACCGCAUGGCCUUUGUACCAAAGGAGCAAUCCGCUUUGAAAUGAGCUCGCGUCCGAUUAGAUAGUUGGCGGGGUAACGGCCCACCAAGUCGACGAUCGGUAGCCGGACUGAGAGGUUGAUCGGCCACAUUGGGACUGAGAUACGGCCCAG